rnacentral:rRNA from 1 species
UACAGAGGUCCCAAGCGUUGUUCGGAUUCACUGGGCGUAAAGGGUGCGUAGGCGGUUUGAUAAGUCUGAUGUGAAAUCCCGCAGCUUAACUGCGGAACUGCAUUGGAAACUAUUUGACUAGAGGAAUGGAGGGGAGACUGGAAUACUUGGUGUGGCAGUGAAAUGCGUAGAUAUCAAGUGGAACACCAGUGGCGAAGGCGAGUCUCUGGACAUUUCCUGACGCUGAGGCACGAAAGCCAGGGGAGCAAACGGG